UACGUAGGGGGCAAGCGUUGUCCGGAAUCAUUGGGCGUAAAGCGCGUGUAGGCGGCUGAGUAAGUCUGCUCUGAAAGCCCGGGGCUCAACCCCGGGAGGCGGGUGGAUACUGCUCAGCUCGAGUCCGGAAGAGGAGUGUGGAAUUCCUGGUGUAGCGGUGAAAUGCGCAGAUAUCAGGAGGAACACCAAUUGCGAAGGCAGCUCGCUGGGACGUCACUGACGCUGAGACGCGAAAGCGUGGGGAGCAAACAGG
rnacentral:rRNA from 1 species